CCAGGCCUGGCACACAUCUCUCCCCAUCGCCCCUACUUCUUCCACCUCCGGCCACCGCCGCGGCCAGGCCGACAUGGCGGUGUGCCACCCAGCCAUCCAUCAGCACGCCACCAACAUCAGCGCCUCCAUUCACUAGCUUCUUUAUCUUCAACCUGCUGCUACUCGCCCACAACUCUCUCUGCUGCUUCUCUCUAUCUGAAUCCCUGCUGCUGUCCUUCUUCUCCUUCACCUGCUGCUGCUCCCUCUCCCACAUCUUUGCUGCUUCUUCUCUCAGCCUCCUGCUGCUGCUCUUUUCUUCCCAAAACUGCUGCUGUUAUUCUUCUUCUCCUCUCUCUUGUUGCACUUCUUCUCUGAACCUCAAGCACACUCUGCUGCUAUCUCAACCCCCUGCUCCUCCUCUUCUCCCCAUGCCUCACUUGCUGCUGCUUCUCUUCUUCUAUCCCCAAAACUGCUGCUGCUCUCUCUCAAUCUCUCUCUCUCUCUCUCUC
rnacentral:rRNA from 1 species